UAACCUUUGUGUUUGAGGGGGCUCAUAAAAUUAAACAGAAGAGACUGGCAGGACGUGCCUGGUAGCAUCUCGAUUGGGUGAGAGGACUGGCAGAGUGAAGGGAGUAUCACAUUGAAUCUAGAGGUGCAGUGUCUUCUUUUGCAUUUUUCAGAUAAACAAAAUUAGACCCAGCGGUGAGAAACUCAAUGAAACAUCUGCAAGGUGUGACUGAGGUGUGACCAGAGACCAUUCUCUAUAACAAUACCACUGUGCAUUUACCAUAUAGCAGUUAGAAUUGCAGAUCAAUCUUUUAUAAGACAUUUUUUUUAAA